UACGUAGGGGGCAAGCGUUGUCCGGAAUCAUUGGGCGUAAAGAGCUCGUAGGCGGCCUGUCGCGUCUGCUGUGAAAGCCCGGGGCUCAACUCCGGGUCUGCAGUGGAUACGGGCAGGCUAGAGUCCGGCAGGGGAGACUGGAAUUCCUGGUGUAGCGGUGAAAUGCGCAGAUAUCAGGAGGAACACCGGUGGCGAAGGCGGGUCUCUGGGCCGGUACUGACGCUGAGGAGCGAAAGCGUGGGGAGCGAACAGG
rnacentral:rRNA from 1 species